CCUACGGGAGGCUGCAGUGGGGAAUAUUGCACAAUGGGGGAAACCCUGAUGCAGCGACGCCGCGUGAGUGAAGAAGUAAUUCGUUAUGUACAGCUCUAUCAGCAGGGAAGAAAAUUACGGUACCUGAGUAAGAAGCCCCUGCUAAAUACGUGCCAGCAGCCGCGGUCAUACGUAGGGGGCAAGCUUUAUCUGGAUGUACUGGGUGGAAAGGGAGCGGAGGCGGCAGUGCAAGUCUGGAGCGAAAUGCGGGGGUUGAACCCCCGGACGGCUCUGGAGAAUGUACAGCUGGAGUGCAGGAGAGGGAAGUGGAAUUCCUAGUGUAGCGGUGAAAUGCGUAGAUAUUAGGAGGAACACCAGUGGCGAAGGCGGCUUACUGGACUGUAACGGACGUUGAGGCUCGAAAGCGUGGGGAGCAAACAGGAUUAGAUACCCUAGUAGUC
rnacentral:rRNA from 1 species